rnacentral:rRNA from 1 species
GACGAACGCUGGCGGCGUGCUUAACACAUGCAAGUCGAGCGGUAAGGCCCUUUCGGGGGUACACGAGCGGCGAACGGGUGAGUAACACGUGGGUGACCUGCCCUCAGCUCUGGGAUAAGCCUGGGAAACCGGGUCUAAUACUGGAUAUGACUCCAUGACGCAUGUUGUGGGGUGGAAAGCCUUGUGCGGCUGAGGAUGGGCCCGCAGCCUAUCAGCUUGUUGGUGGGGUGAUGGCCUACCAAGGCGACGACGGGUAGCCGGCCUGAGAGGGCGACCGGCCACACUGGGACUGAGACACGGCCCAGACUCCUACGGGAGGCAGCAGUGGGGAAUCUUGCGCAAUGGGCGAAAGCCUGACGCAGCGACGCCGCGUGAGGGAUGACGGCCUCGG